CGACCUUCAACAAGUUCAGGUUUUCACCAACUUUUGGUAAUCAUCAACUUCGCGUUUGCUUAGAUCCAGCUCCUCGUAGUCUGGUAAGUAUCCUACCAUUUUGAUGUCUUCGUACGACUCUCGAGUUUGCAUGAGAGUUGAGAAGCGAGAGUUUGCAUGAGAGUUGAUGAGAGUUGAGAAGCAAGAGUUUGCAUGAGAGUUGAGAAGCGAGAGUUUACAUGAGAGUUCAUGAGAGUUGAGAAGCGAGAGUUUACAUGAGAGUUGAUGAGAGUUGAGAAGCGAGAGUUUGCAUGAGAGUUGAGAAGCGAGAGUUUACAUGAGAGUUGAUGAGAGUUGAGAAGCGAGAGUUUGCAUGAGAGUUGAGAAGCGAGAGUUUACAUGAGAGUUGAUGAGAGUUGAGAAGCGAGAGUUUACAUGAGAGUUGAUGAGAGUUGAGAAGCGAGAGAUUGCAUGAGAGUUG